rnacentral:tRNA from 1 species
GCGUUGGUAGUUUAGUGGAAAAAACAUUUGCCUUCUAAGCAAAUAAUCGUGGGUUCGAUUCCUACUCAACGUU